rnacentral:rRNA from 1 species
AUUGAACGCUAGCGGGAUGCCUUACACAUGCAAGUCGAACGGAGUGGCGAACGGGUGCGUAAUGUAACGGAACGUGCCCAUUCGCGGGGGAUAACUACGAGAACGCGUAGCUAAUACCACAUCCUAUUGGAACGGCCUAUAGCGGAUUAGCUAGUUGUGGGGGUAAGGGCUCACCAAGGCGACGAUCCGUAGCUGGUUUGAGAGGAUGACCAGCCACACUGGGACUGAGACACGGCCCAGACUCAUACGGGAGGCAGCAGUGGGGAAUUUUGGACAAUGGGGGAAAGCCUGAUCCAGCCAUCCCGCGUGUGCGAUGAAGGCCUUCGGGUUGUAAAGCACUUUUGGCAGGAAAGCGGUACCUGCAGAAUAAGCACCGGCUAACUACGUGCCAGCAGCCGCGGUAAUAC